UACGAAGGGGGCUAGCGUUGCUCGGAAUCACUGGGCGUAAAGCGCACGUAGGCGGAUUGUUAAGUCAGGGGUGAAAUCCUGGAGCUCAACUCCAGAACUGCCUUUGAUACCGACGGUCUUGAGUUCGGGAGAGGUGAGUGGAACUGCGAGUGUAGAGGUGAAAUUCGUAGAUAUUCGCAAGAACACCAGUGGCGAAGGCGGCUCACUGGCCCGAUACUGACGCUGAGGUGCGAAAGCGUGGGGAGCAAACAGG
rnacentral:rRNA from 1 species